GUGUCUCCAGAAAAAACCCGUCGUUUUCAGUGGCCGCGAUUUUUUUUCAUGUGAAUGUGGUAGGGGUUUGUCCCAAAUCGGUGGAAAUCCAUCCACUAUCCCCUUCCGCCGCCCCUUCCGCCACCGCCCUUCCCCGGUGCGGUGACGCCGCCCCGCGCCACCAGGAACCCAGGACCGGCGGGCCGGGGCCUCCCCGUACGACCGCGCCAGCGCUGCUGCGUGCUGGUCCAGCAACCCCAGCCGUCCAGGGGACGCCAUCGCCGCCGCCUGGUCUCCAGCAUCCAGCUACUCCAGCCGUCCCUCCGUUUGCCUCCCUCCUCUCCACACUCCAGACAGGACGACCGACGGUCGACUCCCUCUGCUGCUGACCAGGACGCUGGUAAUAUGAACUCUCUCUUCUUCUCUCUGUUAACCAAUUCUACUAUUGUAUAGAAGCAUCUUUAUGUGAUAUGUCAACUUGUGAAGUUUGUGAACUACUAGAAUUAGAAAGAUUAGGGAAAGGAACUAGAGAUUAUUAGUGUAUAUAUGAUAAAUGAUGCUGCUGUUCACAUUGUCUUGAUUGUCCGUUUGGAGCUGCUGUUUGCCUGGGUGGUGGUGUUGACAUUUCUUGAUUAUUUUUGUCAAAUACGUCUCCAUUGUCUACCUUCUUUUUCUCAGUCAAAUCAUUGAAAUACUAAUUGUGAAAGGUUCACAUACAAAGUAUGCUAGUUGCAGCAGGCUAGCACACAAGUACUAGUUCUGUAUUAGUCAUGACUGGCUUGCCUACAGGGCCUGUUGCCAGAUUGAAUUGCAUAGAAAAUUUGAUUAGAACAAAGUAUGCUAGUAGAAGCAGGCUAGCACACAAGUACCGCACUGUAUUCCCAAGUCGUAGAAAACAUCAUGCUAGAAUGUGGCAUAUCAUUUUUGAUUUUGAGAUAGCUAACAGACUUGCCGCCCGGUAGAAAGUGACAUAUCAAAUUUGACUAGAACAAAGUACAUGCCAGAUAGGAGGAGCAGUGUUGUACUGGCACGAAUUGCAUAUUUGCAUUUGAUUUGACAUGAACCAAAACCAGAAAUCCAAAAGAAUAACUUAUAUCAUUAAUGCAUCAGCUGAAGAAAAACAUACCUAGUUUCAGAUUUGGGAAUGAGGCCGAUGCAGACCUACAGUAUGGAUGAGUGACCAGGGACGCAUGUACGUAGCGAGCCGGCGGCGGCAAAGCAGCGUCCGGAGCCGAGCGCGCGGCAGACUCCGUGGAGGGCCAUCGUUGCAGCAGGCGGCAGCCGAGCGGACGUUUCGUUUGCUCUGCAAUUAAUUUCCAAGAAGAGUUGAUGCGGUGUCGUCUCGCCUCCCGAUUAAGCACUGCAAUUUCCUUUUAUUUAAGUGGAGAUUGCUCGUGUACGCAUGAACAGGGGCGAGGGAUGCUGAGAAAGUCUGUCGCUUUUCUGUUUUCUGGGCUUUUGUAAGGGAGUGGGGGCACUAGACCUAGGCCGACUGGGGGCUUUGCUGGGCUAGUAUUCGACAUAUACAGGGAGGGCCAAAAAUUGAGUGGGGUCCUGGCCCCCCACUCAUCAUAACCUGGGUCCGCCCCUGAAUAAAGACCAACUCUGUUUAAGGAAUUAUAGGAAGAUAUGUUCAUGUUAGUUUUGUCCUGGUGCAUUUGGAUCUUCAUCUAGCAACAGAGGCAAAAAUAGGUGGUCCUGUGGCCUACCGUUCAAUGUGGUUUCUGGAAAGGUAUCUCUGUGUCCUGAAGUCAUAUGUGCGUAACAGAGCACAUCCAGAAGGAUCUAUCGCUGAAGCACAUCUUGCAGACGAGUGCAUGAUGUUUUGUUCAAGAUAUAUUGAUGGUUUCGCCACCAAGCAUAAUCGGCCUUCAAGGAAUGACGAUGACGAUGAGGCGGUUGAUGUUGAACAAGGAUCAACUCUGUUUCCUUCUGUAGGAAAACCACUUGGAAAGCCUGGCAAUUAUGUUCUUAGAGGGUUGGCUAAAUUCCAAGCACAUAGAUAUGUGUUGUUCAACUGCUCAGAUGUCAACCCAUUCUUUCGAGCUCACACUGAUGAGAUCACUAGCGAGCGUGAUGUCUCCUCAAACACGGUCGAGUCCAUCCAACAUGAUAAGUUCAAGGACUGGUUCAAGGCUCAUAUAAUUAAAUUGGAGAAGGAAAAUGGUAUUGGUAGUAUUAAUAAUGAUAUUAGAUGGCUAGCACGUGGCCCAGUUGAUGCAGCAAAAAGGUACCGCGCUUACAACUCCGGAGGAUAUCGGUUUAGGCCUAAACGCUUAGAUAGGGCGAGUCAAAAUAGUGGAGUGGUGGUACGUGCCAAAACAUCUACAUAUGCUGCACCAGAUGAUGCGACUUAAUAUGGAAGGAUAAUUGGUAUUAUUCAGUUGAACUACUCUGGACAAUUUUCGGUGGAUUUCUUUAAGUGUGAAUGGGUUGAUAUUUCUGAAAAAAGGAAUUAAAACGGACAAG
rnacentral:rRNA from 1 species